UUCACUGUUCCUGGGAUUGGCUUUGGCCCUUUCCUGCGCAGCUUAGGUGGAAGGCAAAGAAGGACUCCUUUCGGGGGGGCCGAACCAUCAGUGAGAUACCACUCUGGAAGGGCUAAAAUUCUAACCUUAUGUCAGGACCUAUGGUCCAAGGGACAGUCUCAGGUAGACAGUUUUUAUGGGGCGUAGGCCUCCCAAAAGGUAAUGUAGGUGUGUAAAGGUUUCCUCGGGCCGGACAGAGAUCGGCCCUCGAGUUAUAUUUUGAAAAAAUAUGAGUUGAUCGAAAAUUAGAGUUCCUGCUCUAAUGCCAUGAAAGAACAGAAGCAAUCUUGAGAGAAUAUUGAUCGUAUUAUCAUGUGUCUUACAA
rnacentral:ncRNA from 1 species